GACGAACGCUGGCGGCGCGCUUAACACAUGCAAGUCGAACGGAAAGGCCUGCUUUCCCUUGUGGAUUGCGGGUACUCGAGUGGCGAACGGGUGAGUAACACGUGAGUGAUCUGCCCCCAACUUGGGUAUAAGCCUGGGAAACUGGGUCUAAUUCCCGAUAGGACUGCAGGGUGGUGCCUGUGGUGGAAAACGAUUUUCUAGUGGUUGGGGAUGAGCUCGCGGCCUAUCAGCUUGUUGGUGGGGUAAUGGCCUACCAAGGCGGCGACGGGUAGCCGGCCUGAGAGGGUGGACGGCCACAUUGGGACUGAGAUACGGCCCAGACUCCUGCGGGAGGCAGCAGUGGGGAAUAGUGCACAAUGGGCGGAAGCCUGAUGCAGCGACGCCGCGUGGGGGAUGACGGCCUUCGGGUUGUAAACUCCUUUCGACCGCGAGGAAGCCACCUGGUUGGAAGGGUGGUGACGGUAGUGGUAGAAGAAGCACCGGCUAACUACGUG
rnacentral:rRNA from 1 species